UAUUUCUUAGUGUACGAUGCACGAAAAUUUUUGAUGUUUUAAGAGUAGUUUAAUUCUACAAGAAAUAA
rnacentral:tRNA from 1 species